CGCUGGCGGCAGGCCUAACACAUGCAAGUCGUACGAGAAGGUAGCUUCGGUUACUGGAGAGUGGCGCACGGGUGAGUAACGCGUGGGGACCUACCUCUUAGUGGGGGAUAACGGUUGGAAACGACCGCUAAUACCGCAUACGCCCUUCGGGGGAAAGAUUUAUCGCUAAGAGAUGGACCCGCGUUGGAUUAGCUAGUUGGCGAGGUAACGGCUCACCAAGGCAUCGAUCCAUAGCUGGUUUGAGAGGAUGAUCAGCCACACUGGGACUGAGACACGGCCCAGACUCCUACGGGAGGCAGCAGUGGGGAAUAUUGGACAAUGGGGGCAACCCUGAUCCAGCCAUGCCGCGUGAGUGAAGAAGGCCUUCGGGUUGUAAAGCUCUUUCAGAUGCGAAGAUGAUGACGGUAACAUCAGAAGAAGCCCCGGCUAAUUUCGUGCCAGCAGCCGCGGUAAUACGAAAGGGGCAAGCGUUGUUCGGAUUUACUGGGCGUAAAGGGCACGCAGGCGGUCUUGCCAGUCAGGGGUGAAAGCCCGGGGCUCAACCUCGGAACUGCCU
rnacentral:rRNA from 1 species